rnacentral:lncRNA from 1 species
GUCUAGUACAUCUCCCUCUCUGAUUGAUCUUGCAUGAUUUCUAUAGCUUGUCAUUCCCUACCGUGCAACCAUCAAGCGUGUGCUAAUUGUGACUGAGGUUGCACUGCCCACGGCAGGUCUCGGUGUUUGAAACAAUUAGCAGCAAUAAAGACAGCAGUUUCACACUACAGGUAAAUGACAUUGCCUCUGUGAGACAAUUUUCAUGCAAACAAUUAGCAAAGAAGAUUAAUAGUUUAUUUAUGUGUUCAUUCUACUCCACCCAAUACUGUAAAAAUGCAUGAGUCCAAUGCCAUGUGGCCUAGCUGACCGAAUUAGCAUGCAAGCUUCUCCUUUCCUCUAUUGUCAGUUCAAUUUUCUCUAGUAUGUAUGUUCUAAAGAUGAUGAGAGAAUGGUCUGGUGGGGAUGAUGCAUGUUUCUUUUCUUUCUUAUCAUGAUAUAUAAAAAGAUUCUGGUAGCUCUGGUACCUAUACUACAACAGUCCAUUGCCAAAAAAAAUACUAGUUCAAUACAUAAUUGGAAAAAAGUUCAAUGCUAAGUGUUCUAUGAUAGUAAGAUGGAGAAGAGAUAAUGCAACAAAAAUCUUAGAUAGGGUAGUGAAGUCCAUUGCGCAUUCUGAUUUUUUGUAGCUCCGGGCAUCAGUUGUAUUGAGACAUGGAUGGCUCUACACCUGAAGCACAUAUAUCUGACAAGCAUGAUCACAUGUUCCCUUCAGGGUCUGAUGGCCGAUGGAGAGGCGAAACGAAAGACGGUUAGGAAGCGCAAGAGAAGUUGCAAAGACAGCAAGCCCAUGUUUAUUUAAUAGCAAGUCCAUGUAUUACUACAUGAGAAGUACUGCUAGUGAGACUUCACUGCCCCAUUUCAACAAACUUGUAUACGCAAAGUGUCGGUGUCAAAACGGGCGGAUCUCGGGUAGGGGGUCCCGAUCUGUGCGUCUUAGGCUGAUGGUAACAGGAAGCAAGGGAUGCAAUGUUUACCCAGGUUCGGGCCCUCUCGAUGGAGGUAAAACUCUACUUCCUGCUUGAUUAAUAUUGACGAUAUGAGUAGUACAAGAGUAGAUCUACCACGAGAUCGUAGAGGCUAAACCCUAGGAGCUAGCCUAUGAUGAUUAUGAUUGUAAUUGUGAUCGGCCUUCUAAGGACCAACAUCUCCGGUUUAUAUAUACACCGGAGAGGGCUAGGGUUUACAUGGAGUCGGUUACAAGGAAGGAAAUACAAUAUCCGAAUCACCAAGCUUGUCUUCCACGCAAAGGAGAGUCCCAUCCGGACACGGGACAGAGUCUUGAGUCUUGUAUCUUCACGCUUCAAUAGUCCGGACGAAGUAUAUAGUCCGGCUGUCCGGAUACCCCCUAAUCCAGGACUCUCUCAGUAGCCCCUGAACCAGGCUUCAAUGAUGAUGAGUCCGGCGCGCAGUCUUUUCUUCGGCAUUGCAAGGCGGGUUCCUUCUCCGAAUACUCCAAAGUAAUUAUUGAACACCUAAACCGUGUCCGGAUCUGCAAAAUGAUCUUCACAUACCACCGUAGAGAGAAUGAUAUUUCACAAAUGCAAUUUGCUGACAACUUUUUUUUAAACAACGCGACGUGUCAUUAUGGUCGGGUCAUUAUUCGAACCGUUUUCCCACAACCAGUCACAUCGCAUAUUGUGAGGCGGUUUCCUUGACACGUCUUGCCAAAGCAGAGAUCGUGUCUCCUUAUCACGGGAUUCUCAUCAAUACGGGUAUGGGUAAUCCAACCGCACCGCUAAUCGCGGCGAGUGGGGAGCGAGCGGGUUCCACCAGGCAAGUGGGGAGGCGCAAAAAGCUUGUACCGUCUUUAUAAAGAGAUAAGGUCUCUUCCUCUUUACCCACGCCUUCUACUUCCGCUAGCCCAUUCCCCUCUGUUCGAGCCCUAACGCCCAGGCAUUCUUCUCUUCCAUCGAAGAAAGGUUUUCCGAAGAUGUCCGGAUCCGGAGCAGGAGGCAGAUGGAUGGCCAUCCAGGAGAAGGAUAUCAAGAGGCUUCAGGAGGCCGGGUAUCUGGCCAAGAAGAUCGGCCAUCGUCUCCCACUGGCGGGACAGGUCGUCCCUACUCCGGAGCCUCACGAGAGAGUCUUGUUCCUUCCCCAUUUUGUCCGCGGGCCUGGGUUCCCCUUCACCCGUUUGUUCGUGGAGUCAUGUAUUACUAUGGGAUUGAUUUCCAUGAUCUUUCCCCCAACUCCUUCCUCAAUAUCUCGACGUUCAUCGUUGUGUGCGAGGCUUUUCUCCGGAUUUCACCUCACUUCGGCCUGUGGCUGAAGAUUUUCAAUGUAAAGCCCAAGGUGGUGAGUGGCGAGCACGCCGAGUGCGGCGGCGCCAUGGCGAGUAAGAUGCCCAAGGUCGUUGGCCGACGGGUGCCUUCAACGACUCCGUCAACGAGUGGCAGCAGCGGUGGUUCUAUAUCACCGAACCACGCAGCAAAAAGUGGGCUGCAGCUCCAGAGUUCAGAUCUGGAGCCCCACCGCGGCUCACGUCCUGGCCCAAGAAGGGCCCGAACUGGUCCUCGUCCGAUGAGCUGUCGCUGCUCCAGACGCGCGUUCAGAGUGCGGUCGACAAGGACGUCAAGCUCGUCGACGUAGUUCAGGUGAUGUUAGUUCGCCUGGUUCUCCCUUGCCAGCGUCGAGCCUGCAAUUUGUGGGAGUUUGACCCAACCAAGCACCAGACCCUUCGGGAGCUCUAUGAUUCCUCCCACAAGGAUAUCUGGAAGGUGCUCUUUAAGUCCGGCAAAUCAUGGCCGGGCUCCUCCGAGGACCUUGGGUAUCAAUUAUCCCAUUCCGCAAGUCCGAUAAGUUAUUGCUAUGCUCUGCCCAUCCAUGCUUCGGUUGGCAUGUCCUGAGGGAGACAUUUUCAUCAUGCUUUUAUCACAACCCCAGGGAUGGAUAAAAAAGGUGGAGCGGAUACAAUGUCCGGCCCUGCUGCCGGAGGAACCGGCCGGACCUCUUCUAACGAAGAUGCUGGUCCUAGCACCUUACAAGGCGCCAAAGAAAGAGGCCUCCAAGAAGGUCAAAAAGACCCGGAGUGGCCUCCGUCGCCGCGAGGCUUCGGACGCAAAAUCCGAAGACUCCAGCGACGCUCCUUCUUCUGAAGACGAAUAGGAGGACGAGCCUCACUCUGGAGGUGGGAAGAAAAGGACGGCCUCCUCAUCCCUGGAGGCCGAAUCGCCCAAGAGGGGGAAAGGUUCCCUCCCUGAGGCAUCCACCACGGCUGCCGACAGCAGCCCGGAGUGGGAUCCCAGGGCCCAGCCCCUGGAAAAGUCAUAAGUAUAUGUAAUCCGAACACGCAUAUGCGUCCGGGGUUGUUUGGGUAUAGCAGUUUUAACUGUUGCCAUAUUUUGUACAGCUCGGCGAGGUCUCGUGCCGGACAAUCCUCAUCGGAGGAUUCACUGAGCUCAGACGCCUUGGCGAGCGAGACGCCUCCAAAGGCCCUUUCCCCAAGGUCCAGGCGUGACACUGAGGUGUUGUCUCAACGGGACCCGGACCAGGGGGGCAUAUCUCUGGAGUCGGACACACGGGAGCGAUGGGCCCAAAGCGCGUCGACGGCGGGGGUGAUCUCGGGUUCGGCCCACAGCCGGACAAGAUCCUGGAGACCUCUAAAGCUCCAGGAUCAGGCGAGCAGCCACCUUUGACGGGGGGAGUCUUGCCUACUCCGCCAACAACCUCUGUCCAAGCAGAGCUACCGGGCGGCCUAUCGACAGCAUUAAGGAGCGCGUCUAUCGUCGAUGAACAUCGGACCCUCAUGGGUGCGGUGAUUGAAAAGAUUCAGUCCGCCGAGAGCGGGCUGAAUGAGUCCUGCCUUGGACUUAUAAAGGCCUUUGAGGUAUGUUUUCUAAGAAACCCUUGGGGAAUUGUCAUAAUAUGAGUAGUAGCCCCUGAUGCACUAUCCGGCGAAAGAGAGAGAGCCGGGCAGGGGAUCAAAUCCUCUGCUUUUGCAGGAGCCUUUGUUUAAUGACGUAUACCCCAUUGUGUGAAAACAGGCGUCUACGGAGAAGACGGCCGCUCAUAAUGCGGAAGUGUCCGGACUGAAGCAAAGCCUGGAACGGGACGAGGAGGAACUUGGCCGUGUGAAGAAGCAAUUGGAGGACAAGCAAGGUAUGUUGAAACAUUGUCUUGAAUUUGGCACGAACGAGUAAUUGUGCCUAGUGAAAAGUAUUUGUAUUGUAUGCUCUAGGAGCAAGUGCCGAAUAUGAGGCACUAAAGAAGGUUGUGGCUGAUGCCAACGAGAGGGCUGUCGCCGAACAGGCGCUUCGUGAGAAACACGAGGCUAGGGUCAUCGCAGCUGAGCAAGAGCUCCAGGAGGCUGUAAAGAAAAGAGAGGGCUUGGAGCAGAGUUUAGUAGGGAAAGAAUCCGAACUCGCCCAAGCUCUCCAAGCCGUGGAAGAUGCUCGGGAAGAAGCCCGAGGUGCUGUGCGGGACAUUCAGGAGGCCCGGAAAGUUGCGACUGGUAAGGCUUUUUGUAUUCAUGGCCAUUUUUACAUGAUAGUGGGAAGAACUCAAAGCGGCAAGUUGAAUUCAUGUUUUUCCAGGGGCAUUUGCGGAUCUGCCUCGCAGCAUAUCAGAUGCCGCCCAAUUCUACCGGACCAAGGAGAAGAAGUCUGCGGAGAGGGAUUUCUGGACGCAGUAUUUGGCGCCGAACUAUCCGGUGCCCUUUAUCGAUCAGCUGAAGCAGCUGGUCGAACUGCACCAGGCGGCCGAACUAGCCAUGAAGGACUUGGUUGUCCGGCUGUGGCCCGCGGAGCCCAUUCCAAGAAGUUACUUCGGACUCGUGAAGCGGAUUGUGGGCGCCUGUCCUCGGCUUGAUGUUGUUAAGCGAUCGGUCUGUAUAGAGGGUGCGCGCAUGGCAUUUGCCCGUGCAAAAGUGCAUUGGGGGAAGCUUGAUGCGGAAAAGCUGAUGACCGAGGGGCCACCAGAGGGUAAGGAGCACCGCAAGCCCGAGCUGUACUAUGAAGGUGUACUGAAGGGAGCCCGCCAUGUGGCGGAUAAGUGUACCAAAGACAUUAUAUUUCCCUGAGGGCAUUCGUGUCGUUCUUUGUAAUAUGGGAUAAUGGCACUUUUAUUAUUUAUUGCAUGUUUUGUGUGAACAUUUUUUCUUCCUGUGCGGCUGUUUAGUGUAUGUAAAUCCUAAGAGUUGGCCAGUCAUCGGCUUCUGCCCCCACGAAUGAAAUAUGGGGGUGUUCGGGACAUAACUGAACACUCUUUAUCCCAAGUCUGGGUCCUUUUAAGGAGGUGUUCCUCACCACGAACCAGACAAUCAGACUAUAAGGCUUUACCACUCUCACUUAGCCAUAGGAAUUCGAGUAUGGUCGGUGCAGCCCCUAGUGUUCGGAAGGCCGAACUAGGGGCUCUAUUGGCGCCUGAUCGGAAGACCGAUCCGUCGCACUCUGCAUUUAUAAUGGCGUUAUGCGGAAUAAAUCUUUAAAGAUUUUACAACCUCUCGAAUAGCUGACCAGCUCUCGUUGUAUCAUGACAGUCAGUUUUCGGCUUUCUAUACUGAGGUGCUCAUCCGGCAGAUCCGGGACAUAAUCGCAGUAGUUCUCUCAGCGCUACCUUAGCCGAUAUAACGGAAUGUAAGGUACCAAAACAUGGGAGCCGGGCAAACCCAACCAAUGACCCAAGACAUGAUUCGGAGCUGAUGCAUAUAGUGCUAUAAGUUCGGGGUGCCGAGCGAUCGAAAAGGUGGUCAGACUUUAUUGCCGUACUGUGAAGCCCCUGGCAUAAUCGGUCGUGACACGAGGCGUCGAUGAGAAACGACGGCCGGUAAGUGUUAUUUAAGUCUACGCAUUGUAGUAGGAUGAUAUGUCUAUGCAUAUGAGUACGAUUUAUGAUGAUAAAAAGAGGUGUUUUUGGCGGAACCUGUGAUGGCCGGGCUGGAGGGGGCUGUGAGUGGAUCUGAAGUGAAUCCGGACUGCCUUCUUUGGGGGGGGGUCACAUGCAUGUCCCUGCCCUUGUGUGUCCGGGCCGAUUCCACGUCGUCAAUCCUAUUCUGCGUCAAAGUUAGUUUGUAAAGGAAAAUACUUGGAGGCGGCUGAGUGUCCUCUUGUGGUUGGUCCAAGGGUUCCUAAUCGGACCCUGGUUAACCCAGCCGAUAUACCGUGAAGUAGCGCAGACUCCUCGGUUUGUGUCCGGAUAGUUGGAUGUCAUAUCAAAAUUUUGAUAGGCAUGCACAACUCGCUACUCCGGCAGCUGUAUGAUUUCCGCUCUAAGGGCAGGGUUCGGCCUUACCCAUAGGUGUGAUUAUAUCACAUGGUGUUGGCCUAAUGGUUUACCACAUGGAAUCUAGUCAACGUGGUUCAUCCCGUUAGCAUAUCUUAAAUUACCGUAUGAGGGGAAGGUGCCGAAGAAUUAUUCUUUGGCGUUACAUUAUUUGGUGAAUCCGAAGACCACCGUUAGAGUGGUGGGCCGAUAAAACUUGGCCUUUGCACCUGGAAUCUUUUAAAAGAUGUUAUUUGUGGUUUCACACCCGCGGGGGCUUUAUGUGUUAUGGAGCCCCCGGACUACUAGGUCUAGAUGUACUGCAAUUGAAUUGUUGUGGUUGAUGUGAUUGGGGGCGAUCGGUCGUACUUUUAUGCUCUGGGGGGUCUCUUGACUAGACGCCUCCCCUCAUUGUUUCUGGCACACGACCAGCCGCUUUGUUUUGAGGAUCCAGCAUUCUCUAUUGGUAUGUGUAAGUGCAUCUAGUGCCACCCCUAGUUGGUUUUGGAGUAUUGACGACAAAGUUGGUUGAGGGACUAAUGCGUUUGUGAGUAUUGCAGGAUAACGCAGGUAGUGUCCCUCAUUGAUUCGGUUUACCUACCGGAGAUGACCCCUAAAACUGUAUGAAGACAUUGAAGACAAUGGUGGUGUGUGAAGAUGUUCACAUUGAAGACUAUGACAUGAGAAGACAUUGAGUGAAGACUAUGGAGCGCAAAGACUGAGUUGUUUCGCUGUUUCCUUUUCUUCUGUGUUGAGUCAUAGGAACCACCGUACUGUUAAGUGGGGUCCAAGUGAACUAAGUCAGAGUGACUGAAGUGAUGCUCAACCCAAAUCCUAUGUCUUCGAGCGAAGACAAUGAGAGCAAAUCUUAUCCAGAGCUGGAUGAGUCAGCUUUGCUUGUAGCCCAAGUAAAGUUAUCGUGUGUGUUUGAAAUCUGACCGUUGGAACACGUGUCAGUUCCUUAGUGACCCAGGGUCAUUUCGGACAUAACAGGUCGGGUUGCCUUGUGGCUAUAAAUAGCCCACCCCCUACACCAUAAAUUGGUGGAUGCUCAGAGUUAGUUUACGGCUUUUGUCGUUUUGAGAGCAACCCACCUCGAAUCCUUUGAGAGAGAAAUCCUUGCGAGGACAAAGCCCAGACACCCAGAGCCAAAGAGUGUUAGGCAUCACUGAAGUCUUUCUGUCUGUGUGACCUGAAGACUUAUUACACUUGAGGACUGUGUAUCCUCCAGCCAGUUAGGCGUCGCGUUCUGAGCAUCCAAGAGUCAUUGCGGAUUGCCGGUGAACAAAGUCUGUGAAGGUUCGGAAGUCUAACUUGAAGACUUACCAGAGUGAUUGGGCGAGGACUGUGUGUCCUUAGGUCAAGGGGAAUAAGGUGAAGACGUGGCCUUCUGAGUUGAACCUCAACCUCCCUAACCAGACGUACAGUUGUCACAGCAACUGGAACUGGUCCAACAAAUCAUGUGUCUUCAACAAGUGACUGGUUCUAUCCCUUCCCUCCUUUACUUUGAGUUUGUCUUUGUGAAGUCAUUGCUUAUCUGUCUUAUCUAUUUGACUUCAUUGCUUGACUACUAUUGUUGAUUGGCUUCAUACUAUCUUCCAUCCUGAUCCUUACUACCUAGCUGCUAUUAGUCUUUGUAUGUUAACACUAUUGCAUACUUGACUAUGGCUUGCUUGUUGUAGUUUAUCUUCCGAUGCAUAUCAAUUAGGUCAUUUCUAUUGUCUGUCUUUGAAACUUCCACGUUUUGAAGACUUUGCUAAAAAUUGCCUAUUCACCCCCCCUCUAGUCGAUAACUAGCACUUUUAAUUGGUAUCAGAGCAAGGUACUCCCUUGUUCUGUGUGAUUCGGUUUAACCACCUGGAGUUUAGCUAUGUCGACUGCAGGGAUAAUCAAAGUCUCCGCUGCUUGCCCUGUGUUCGAUGGAACUGAAUAUCCCUACUGGAAGAAUAAGAUGCGCAUGCAUCUUGAAGCCAUUGAUGUCGACCUCUGGUAUGUCGUCAAGAAUGGCGUUCCAAAAACUGGUGACGGUGUCACCCCUGCUAAUGUCAAGAAGUUCAUUCAACUGGACUCGAAUGCAAAGAACAUCAUUUGUGGUCAUCUGAACCAAGGACAGUAUGGUCGUGUGGGUGCUCUGGAAACGUCAAAGCUAGUCUGGGACUGGCUAUCCAAGGUCAACGAAGGCGUCUCAACUCAUAGAGAUCAGAGGAUCAGUGUUCUUCGCAACCUCUUCAACCGCUUCAAGAGAAACGACAAUGAAAAUGUCCAGCUCACGUUUGAUCGCCUCACCGACAUCACAAAUGAGCUACAGGCUCUCGGCGCCACUGAGAUCACCAAGCAUGAAAUCGUCAAGAUGCUGCUAAGAUCUCUUGACAGCUCCUUUGACACCCUUGCCCUCAUGAUACAAGAACAUCCUGACUUCAAGACUCUCGAUCCGUUUGAUAUACUUGAGAGGCUCAACACACAUGAGUUCCAGCUUUCUGAGAAAAGAGAUAUCUAUGGACCCAACUAUGGCCGAACUCGUGCUUUGAAGGCAAAAGUUGUUUCCUCAUCUAAAGAAGAAGAAUCUGACUGCUGUUCUGAUGAUCCUGAAGACAUUGGAAGGGAACUUGCUAUUCUUGUGAAGAAGUUCCAGAAAUUCACCAAGAAGAAGGGCUCCAGAAAGUCUUCACGAUCCAGUUCAAGAAAUGAUGAAGCUUCCACUCAAGACAACAAGAAGAGAACUUGUCACAAGUGUAAGAAGCCAGGGCACUACAUCUCUGAGUGUCCUCAGUGGGACAACGAGAAGAAGAAGAAGAAGAGCAAGGAAUAUGACUCUGAUGACAAGAAGAAGAAGAAAUCUUCAAAGUCUUCUUCCAAGUCCUCAACAAAGUCUUCAUCUCACAAGAAGAGCUCGUCUGGCAAAGCUCGUGCUUUUGUCGGCAAGGAAAUGGAUUCAGAGGAGGAGUCUGCUUCUGAGGAGGCGGAGGUGGAAUCUGAAGCUGAGUCCGACUCUGGCGUUGCAAGUCUGGCUCUAGCCACAGCCUACGUUGGCAAGUCCAUCUUCAACACUGAAGACAAUGACUCCCACACCAACGCUAAUGAUGACAAGGACGAUCCUGCUCCCACCUACUGCUUCAUGGCACGCGGUGCCAAGGUAAAAUCACACGAUGCUUACUUCAAACAUCAAGUGAAGAUGACUCUGAUUGUGAAUCUAAACCCAGCUACAAAACACUUGCUAAAAUUUCUACUGAACAACAAAGGGCUAUGGAACAUACUCAAAAACUGUUAGACAAAAGCGAUGACCUGUUGGACGCGGAAAUGACACGUUCACAGUCCUUAGUUGAAGACAUAAAAAAUCUUCAUGCUAAGUAUCAAGAACUUGAAAGUCUUCAUGAGACGCUCUCAACCACUUAUGAAAAGCUCUCCUAUGAUUAUCUUCAAAGGAAGCAAGAGCUUGAGAAAUUGAAAGCGACUCAUGAAGAUCUUCAAAAAGAGAAUGAGUCAUUUCGCGCUCAACAGAUCAGUUCCGCUCAGGAAGGAUUUGAACCACCAUGUCUAAAAUGCAUUGAGCGUGAUAACGCUAUCUCUGUUGUUGAAUGUUCCACUGCUGCUAUUGUUGCUCUGUCUUCAACUACUGAUGUGGUAACUAACCCCUCUGCUGAGGAUACCACUACUAUUGCUGAUAAAAAUGCUAGGUUGAAGACAUUGCUUGAAACAGGGAUGUAUAAAAGUCUGAAAGGGCAUCAGACACUUUGCGAUGUCCUCAAAAAGCAAAUUCUGAACCGAAAUCCUAGGAAAGAGGGUGUUGGGUUCGAGAGGAAAAUGAAUGUUGAUGGCUCCUACUAGAAGCCUGAGCAGUAUCCCAAAACCACAUGGGUUGCUGCAAAGGAACCUUUAGUGGAUCCAUCUACCUUAUCUGGCUUUACCUGUGCUAAUCCUAUUAUCAUUGAUGAAUCCUUUGAUGUAAACUAUAAACUGUUCAAAAAUCAGAAUGGUGAAGUGUUUGCCAGGUAUAUUGGUACUAACUGCAGGAAUGGACCGCCAAUGAAGAAGAUCUGGGUUCCCAAAAGUUGUCUUGAGAAUCUUCCUGUGAAUGUUGUCAUGACACCACCAGGGAAGAAGACAAACCCCAGACCAAAGGCGUCACAUGGUCCAACGGCUUCAUACGGAAACAGGACUCACCUGAGUCACCCUAACGCCAAUGUUUUGCAGGGAAAUCGUACUCAACCUUAUGAAUAUAAGAGCAUGUCUUCAAACCGCUAUGUCCAUAGGACUAAGAACUUUUCUGCUUAUUCAUAUGAGUAUCAUUCAUCUCCUGCAAGGCUAUUUGCUAGGGCUCCAAAGCCGAAAUUCUCAAAUGCUGCACUUAGACUCAUUGCUUCUAAGCCACCCCUAAAGAUGUGGGUGGUGAAGAAGAACUAACUCUCUUUUGCAGAACAUGGUCUCCAGCCAGCAAUCAAAGGCGUCCGAUAUUAUUGCUGGGGACCUAAAACACAAAGGGACGCAUGAUAAAAUGACUUACUAUGUAUUCCACAUAUGAUCACUUACCUGUCAUAAUGUGUGCUAACUUUCAUCUAAGCUAUGAUAAUCCAAGUGUGCGUCAAAUGCUUAUGCUUCACAACAUACCUUGUGAAGCCUAUCCUCCUAACUGCACUGUAGGGUAUGACACCUCGUGCUUCAGAAUGGAUUAUGGACAGCGGAUGCACCAAUCAUAUGACUGGUGAUCGAAGUCUUCUCAUGGACUCAACCUUACGUCCAUCCGACAAGAGUCAAAUCACAUUUGCUGACACUAGUAAAGGCAAGGUAUUGGGUCUAGGUAGAGUUGCAAUCUCAAAGGAUCAACACAUGGAUAAAGUGAUGCUUGUUGAAUCCCUUAGAUUCAACUUAAUGUCUGUCUCAAUGCUUUGUGACUUAAACAUGAUUGUGAUAUUCGGAAAAUAUUGUUGCCUUGUACUAAUGGAAUCUGACAAGUCUCUAGUCUUUGAAGGGUAUAGGAAAGGUGAUCUAUAUAUGGUAGAUUUCUCAGCAGGUCCACAGCUUGCCGUAUGUAUUCUUGCAAAAGCUUCAGAAUGCUGGCUCUAGCAUCGAAGGCUGGGACAUGCUGGCAUGAGGAACUUACACACUCUCGUCAAGAAGAAGCAUGUCAUAGGCAUCGAAGGUGUAAAGUUCAAGAAAGAUCAUUUGUGUGGUGCUUGCGAACUUGGGAAGAUGACUAGGGCCAAGCACCCCUCGAAGACAAUCAUGACGACAUCUCAACCCUUCGAGCUGUUGCACAUGGACUUAUUUGGCCCUACUCACUACUCUACCCUCACAACAACGGCGUGUCUCUAUGGCUUCGUCAUUGUUGAUGACUACUCAAGAUAUACAUGGGUGCACAUAAUUCUCUACAAGACUGAAGUACAAGAUGUCUUCAGACGAUUCGCCAAUCGAGCAAUGAACAACUAUGGCGUCAAGAUCAAGCAUAUCAGAAGUGAUAACGGCACUAAAUUCAAGAAUACCGGGCUUGAUCUCUAUCUGGAUACAAUGGGAAUCACUCAUGAAUUCUCUGCCCCAUACACACCUCAGCAAAAUGGCAUUGUAGAGUGCAAGAACAGAACCCUCAUUGAGAUGGCUCGAACAAUGCUCGACGAGUACAAGACACCAAGAAAGUUCUGGCCUGAAGCUAUUGAUACAGCUUGUCACAUCAUCAACCAUGUCUACAUCCACAAGAUUCUAGGCAAAACAUCCUAUGAGCUCCUUACUGGCAAGAAGCCAAAUGUCAGCUACUUCAGAGUUUUUGGUGCUAGAUGCUGGAUCAAGGAUCCCCAUCACAAGUCAAAAUUUGAGCCUAAAGCACACGAAGGCUUCAUGCUCGGUUAUGGAAAGGAUUCACACUCAUACAGAGUCUUCAACCUCUUUCACUACAAAAUCGUUGAAACUAUGGACGUGCGAUUUGAUGAAACCAAUGGUUCACAACGAGAGCUCCUGCCAAGCACAUUAGAUGAAGCUCCUUCCAGUGAAUCUAUCAAGCUGAUGGGAACUGGUGAAAUCAUGCCCUCUGAAGCACAGCCUGAAGAGGAACUUAUCAUUUCUGCACCAAACCAACCUGAAGACAAUGCUCAGACCGAAGACAAUCCUUCAAAUGAUGACAAUGAUCAGCAUGAGCAAGGUCUUCGUCCAAUUCAUCCUCGUGUUGCAAAUGAAGUACAAAUUGAGAAGAUAAUUGAUAGCAUCGACGCACCUGGUCCACUUACUCGCUCAAGCGCGACGCAGCUAGCAAAUUUAUGUGGGCAUUUUUCAUUUGUAUCAAUAUCUGAACCCAAGAAAGUUGCUGAAGCCUUUAUGGAACCUGAAUGGAUUCAAGCCAUGCAAGAAGAACUUCAACAGUUCAAGCUGAAUAAUGUUUGGGAACUUGUCAAGCGCCCUGACCCUCGCAAGCAUAACAUUAUUGGCACUAAAUGGAUAUAUCGGAACAAGCAAGAUGAGAAUGGUCAAGUCGUCAGAAACAAAGCACGUCUAGUGGCACAAGGAUAUACUCAAGUUGAAGGAAUUGACUUCGAUGAAACAUUUGCUCCUGUGGCUAGGCUUGAAGCUAUUCGCAUACUGCUAGCCUAUGCUAAUCACCACAACAUCUUGCUAUAUCAAAUGGAUGUGAAAAGUGCUUUCCUAAAUGGCAAGAUUUAAGAAGAAGUGUAUGUUGCUCAACCACCUGUCUUUGAAGAUCCAAAACAUCCUGAUAUGGUGUACAAACUAAACAAAGCAUUGUAUGGCCUCAAACAAGCUCCUCGCGCUUGCUAUGAUACAAUCAAAGACUUCCUGAAGAGCAAAGGAUUCAAACCAGGAUCCCUCGAUCCCACACUCUUCACAAAGACAUAUGAUGGUGAACUGUUUGUAUGCCAAAUAUAUGUGGAUGACAUAAUCUUCGGCUACACCAAUCAGAAGUAUAGUGAUGAGUUUGGAUACAUGAUGCAAGAGCAAUAUCAGAUGUCCAUGAUGGGUGAGCUGAAGUUCUUCCUUGGUCUUCAAAUUCGUCAGCAAAGAAAUGCCAUCUUCAUAUCUCAAGAAAAAUAUCUCAAAGACUGUCUGAAGAAGUUCGGCAUGCAAGAUUGCAAAGGUUACACGACGCCAAUGCCAGCCAAACAUCAUCUUGGUCCCGACGACAAUGGUAAAGAGUUUGAUCAACAGGUAUACCGCUCCAUGAUUGGUUCUUUACUUUACCUAUGUGCAUCUAGGCCAGAUAUUAUGCUUAGUGUUUGCAUGUGUGCUCGAUUCCAAGCGGCACCAAAGGAAUCGCAUCACUUAGCUGUGAAGCGAAUUCUUAGAUAUUUGGCUUACACCCCAACACUCGGAUUAUGGUAUCCAAAGGGCUCAAGGUUUGAUCUGGUUGGAUUCUCGAAUGCUGAUUAUGCUGAUGACAAGGUGGAUCGCAAGUCAACAUCAGGAACAUGUCACUUUCUGGGACGAUCACUUGUCUGUUGGUCUUCAAAGAAGCAAAACUGUGUAUCACUCUCAACUGCUGAAUCUGAAUACAUUGCUGUUGGAUCUUGUUGUGCUCAGCUUUUGUGGAUGAAGCAAACUCUUAAGGACUAUGGCGUCAAUCUGAAACAAGUACCUCUCUUCUGCGACAACGAAAGCGCCAUCAAGAUUGCCAACAAUCCAGUUCAGCACUCAAAGACAAAGCACAUUGAAAUUCGUCAUCACUUUCUCAGAGAUCAUGUCAUGAAGAAAGAUAUUGACAUCAUUCACGUCAACACUGAAGAGCAACUGGCAGAUAUCUUCACAAAGCCCUUGGAUGAGAAAAGGUUUUGCAAGUUACGGUGUGAGCUAAAUAUCUUGGAAUCCUCAAAUGUCCUUUGAUCAGGCACACAUCCUAACACUUAUGCAUGUUGAUGACUUAGAUGUACAACACACAAAGUAAAGUAUAUCUUCAAUCAAUGAAGACUUACAUUCUGAGUGUGAAUACAUUAACGUGGAAUUUGACUUCGGAGCGCCACGAUAAUUGUGCGCCGUGUCUGGGACGUAUACGGUGGGUAACGCCACCACCAAAUUUCUUGGUUUGAAGUGUUUCACUCAUGGCGUUAUUGUUGAAUAUCUUCGCAUAUUGAUUUGUCUUCAACUUUCAACUUAUCUUCUUGAUUUACUUCACUAUGUUGAGUUGAUUGCUUUCUCAUAUAUAUAUAUACUAGUAUUCUGUCCUCUACAACAUUCACUUAUAGCUAUGUCUUCAUUGUUGAAUCUUUUGAACUAAGUGAAUGUGAUCGAACCCUAAUCUCUCUAUGCUUACUAUCUCAAACUCUAUCUGUCCAAAUCAUAUGCAUUCUGUUGAAACUGUCGAAUGUCUUCUCUGCAUCCUUGUCAGCAGAAGACACAGAGACAAACAUCAAGUCCUCUUUAAAUGAUUCAUCUUUAUUGUCGAUAUCCGGAGAAGCCGGAACAACCAUCCGACAAACUUGGCGGGCGUGGGAACGUGGGACAACUCUGAGUAUGUUGCGUGCUUGCCACGUGUCCCACGGAUGUGAACAGACAGGGGCACCUGCGUAAUUGCACUGUGCCGCACACCUACUUAUAAAUACGUGUCCCCUGCGGUCAAGAAAACCUUCUUCCACCUCUCCACCUCGUCAAAACCCUAGCGCCACCGCUAGCUCUCGACGACGCCGGCGACAAAGCGCUUAGCUGCCGCGACUUCUCUGACACCGUCCUCACGCCGGCCGCGGGCAUCGUCCUCUCCGCCGCCGCCGUAGGUGUCCUCCGUCACCAAGUUAGGGCACGGUGGAUUGAACUGCUCGGUCUCCUAUUCAUCCCAUCUAGCAGUUCAUCGUGUGGUAAAUAUAACUCUAUUUUUACCAGCUUUUUGACCCUCAAUGAUUCAUCCAAUUUACCAAAAUUGGUUUCUGUCUAUACAAAGUUAGAUAUAUUCUAUCUGCAUCUCAUACUGCCUAGUAUAUUCACUUAAGCUUCACAUCUAGUUAGAUUCCUCAUUUGUACUUAUUCACGGAUUCGUACAAAUCUGGAACCGACUCUCAACAUAUAAGUGAAUGUCUUUGCAACAUGAGGUCAAUGUCUUCAAACUGAUUUAUCUUCAAAAUCUUCUAAGAAUGCAUAUGACCUCUUCCCCUUCCCUUGCAUCUCUAAUGCUGUCACAUGUACAUGUCCGUGGGAGAAUCCCUAGGUUCUCAUAGUCUGCAUUCGUUUGCAGAAUUCUUACAGCAACACAUUGAAUCUCCCGAAGCCAGUUCCUGUCUGACCAGCAAAUGAAAGCCCUUGAAGCCUUUGAACAUAUUGAAGCCAUUCAGUUUGAAGUUCAUGGCUGCAGAAAAAUCAGUAAGGAAGGGUGGCAGAAAGCUCGUGGGGGAACUUCAAAGGAUCUGCCUGAUGAUCUUGCAGAAAUCUACAAAAUAGAUCCUGAAGAGGAUUAUAAUCAGCGCAAGACUCGAAUCCAAUGGAUUCGACGCUAUUGGGCUGAACAAUGGUUCAAGUACAAGUUCGUGACCCAGGAGUACGCUGAGAAGAAUGCUAUCAAGAGUCCUUGGGGUGAUAUUCUCUAUCGUGGCCUUUCCCCCAAGAACAAAGUUGAAGCCAUUGCACAAGAAUUCUAUCCUUGCAUGGUCCGUGGACCACAGCCUGAAGAUGCCGAACCAUCAUCAUUGCUCUGGUGUCGUGACGACAAUCUCUUCAAGCGCAACUUCCAGUAUGCUAAGGCUUUGGCAAAGGAAAACAAGAAGUCAUGGGGAUUAGACUUCAAUCCUGGUCCCUUUGCUCCCCGUGAUGAUGGCACACGUGAAGCUGGAGAAAAUAGAAUUGGCCCCUUUGCAAACCUCGAUGGCCUCAUCUCAUACGUCUUGGUACAAGGUGCCAAAGUGGAUCAUUCUGACAAUGAUGCCGAUUCUGAUGAAGCCCCUGCUCCUCCUCCAAGGCCGCAGAAGCCAAAGAAGAUUAAGGCUUCAUCAUCAGCUGCACCUCCAAAAGCUUCUCGUGUGAAGCCACUGGCCACUGCACCUCCUGAAGACAGUGUGCAGUCUGAAGAUCUUUCACGCAUCUCCAAGAAGACGGAGAAGAAAAAGAAAAUCGUCAAGAGUACUGAUCAGGCUUUGACUCCUGCUGCCAUUCUGCGUGAUGAGCACAUUGAUUUGUCCAGCAAUGACGAUCUUACAGAUGAUGCUCUUGAGCAACUGAUCAAGAGAAAGGAAGAAGCAAAGAUCUUCAAUAACUUGCCUCUCUUUGAUGUGGCCGUCCUCCAUAACUUCAUUGAUGAAUAGUUUGACACACCAAAUCUCAGCUUUGAUGAUCUGCAACUUCCAAUUGGCCUCAGCGUCGCCUUCAAUGGCGCCAUUGCUUCUGAGCUAGCUAUUGCUCAGCGCAUCGUCGAACUGAAGCACAAGAUUGACUAUGAAAAGGCUCAGUUCAAGAAGCAUGUGGCCAAUCUCAGUGUGCAAGAUGUCAAGAACUUCAAGAUAAUGCUUCAUGAGCUCAAAGAGGCGUUUCACAAGAAGCGUGAAGAAGCUAGAAGUUCUCGUGAGUGCAUGAAAGAUCUGGCUGACAAGUGUGUGCUUGCCUACAAUGAGGCUGAAAAGCGCAAGGCUCUUGGUCGUCCUGGCAUCGACCCCAGGAUGGCUGCAAAGAAAAAGAAGAAAUCGACUGUCCAACCUGCACCUUCAAGGCAAGAUGAACCUCGGAUUGUCUUCCCAAGCAGCAUGACUAGCUCGAAGCCAAAGGUCACGUCAACCGCUUCAGAAUAGAAGAAGACGAGGGUUGCAGAGGUUGAAGCCAGAAAAAGGAAAACCUCAGAAGCCUCUGAUGCUGCUCCCUCCAAGAAGAAGCGCAAGACCAAGAAGAAUCGGGCUACUCCCACAGAGCCCCUUGUUGUUGAACCCAUCUUAGUGGUUCGUCCUGCAUCCGCUACCCAAGAACUACGAAUGACUGUUCAUGAGCCUGCUUCCACAGAGGCUCCCGAAGCUGAAGAGAUUCCAGCAGUUGAUCCCAUCACUGCUGAAGACAUUGGUCAUCAUGACAGUGUUGAAGAUGAUGAAGUUCUUCCUCAAAUUAAAUACAAUGUGGUAUCAUCGCCUGUUCGUACGAACAGCGAAAUCAUCAGCAUUGGUUGUCCUCUGACGCCAAUUGCUCAGGAUGCUUCAUGGGCUGAUCGCCCGCAACAACAAGACUCCCCCAGUACUCCCCAACAACAACAAGCCACACCAUCCGUGCAAGUUGAAGAGGAUGAGGACCUGCCCACUCCAUCUCCAAAGGUGUCACCUGUACUACAAAGGCUUCGCAAAGGACCAAGGCCUCAAGUCCCUCUUCCGAGCGUUCCAGAAGGAGAAGUGCACCAUCAACCUGUUGCACGUCAAGUGUUUUCAGAAGCCACUCCUGCUGUGAAUGUCUCCGAGUCUGAAGCACCAGCUGUUGAAGACAAUCCGGCUGCAUCAGCCGAUGACGAACGUCAAGAAGAACGUGUCCCUACUCCCCCCCCAUUCCUGAAAAAGCUGUUCAUGAUGUGAACGUGCCUGUGCCUGACCCUCUAGCUCAGCAAGUGGAGGUUGAAAACCUUGAGGCUGCCACCACCAACACCAAUGAAGCCAAUGACAUAGUCAUGGCUAAAACUAAUGUGGAGCCUGUCCCAAGCACAGUUCCAGAAGUCAAUGCUGAAAAUGCUCCUGAAGCUUCUGUUGUGCAGCCUAAAGCCACUGUUGCUUCCAUUGCUCCUGUUCCGCCACCAAGGCCCCAUACAAUCGAGCAAGCAUACAGCCAUGGCGAGCUAAUCACAGUAAGAUGGCCCGUUCUGGUCCCUCCGCCUACUGUCUCUGGUCCUCAAUUUGACUAUCACAUCGAGCAUAGGCCUCAGGUCCAGAAGCCAAAGCCAAGACUGCCAAGGUUUCCGGGUACUGCCACAUCUGUCGGGUCUUUCAAUGCAAAUGGCUUCAAGAGCCACACCACAUUCUUUGACAGCUCAAAGAACCCCUACACAAGGCCAAGAAUAUCAUCAGAUCGGUUCUGGAGUCAUCAGUAGCGAAGCUAUUACUCCUGUGUUCUGUAUGAUCAAGGGCGCAUUUUCCCUCAUAUGCGCCUCGACACUGAAGCCAUUGCUGGACUGCCAUGCUUAGAAGAAGCACUUGACUACUUUCGUGAUGCUGGUCUGCUCAGUUUUGUGACAGACAAAGAACAUUGGAAUGAAGAGCUAUUGCUUCAAUUCUAUGCUACGCUCCACAUUCGCAGUUAUAACAGAGAUACGAAGACAUGGGUUCUCGAGUGGAUGACAGGAAAUUUUCAUCAUGAAGCCAAAGCUCUUGACAUCAUUGAGCUUACAGGCCUAUCCACUCCCGGAGAGCUAUAUGAACCUGGUUGUCAAAACCACCGCAAUGCACUGGAGAGCAUCUUCCAUAAGCCUGAACCCAAUAUGAGUCAGAUGUUGAGCAUGAUGAAGCCUUUGCCACGUGAUGCUGAAUAUACAAAGGAGUUCUUUGUUGAUGACCUUGAGUAUCUACCGCGCACCAUAUAUCAUAUCAUCAGGCGGACUCUAUGGCCGAUCAAAGGACAUUCAUCAGCUACAAAACUUGAAGGAGCCAUGAAGACAUUGGUCUUUUACAUCCUCAAUGGCAUCAGCUUCAAUGCGCAAGAUUUCUUCAUCAGGCAACUGGCUGCAUCUAGAUCUGACCUUUUCAGACUGAAGUUCUAUGCUCCAUGGGUCAUGCGCCUCAUCAAGCAACACUCUGCUGUCAACUAUCAACCCUCUGCUCGCAAUCAUGUGAUCUUUCUACCAGAGGUUGAUAUGUCAGUUGAAGCCAUAUAUCUUGAACCUGCCAACAAGCCUCUUUGUCUUCAAAAUGCUGAACAUCAAAGCUUCACUCAGCCUAUGGAAGGAGUCCAAGCUGUCACGCGUGUCUAUCCGAUGGCUGGAAACAUUCGUCUACCUCAUCGUGCACCAACUGAAGCUACUGCGAGCACAAUUGCUCAAAGGCCAAAGAAGCGCUCUCGGGUCCUCAAUGACCGAGAACUUCUUGUGGCACUGCAUCAGAAACAGGAUAAGCAUCAUUUUUGGCUCAACCGUCAGAUGCAAAGCCUCUUGGUGGAUGUAAAUCGCAUUCGAAACCUUGCCACCAAGAAUGCAUUUGUCACUCACGAAACGUGUCGACGAUCAUGGAAGAGUUUGACCCUGCUCAGUGCUGAAGCUGAUCUUCAAGACGAUGGCUUCACUGAAAGAUUCAAGUUUGACUCCACUCCUCCACGGAAUGUUGUCUUACGAAGAACUCCAUCUCUGGAAGACUCUGACUAUUCUUCCUCCGCGGCAACUGUAAAUGCCAAUGUGAUCGAUGAUGAAGACGAUGCAACUUCACCGCCCCCUACUUCUGCACGCAUCGACACUGCUCCAAGUUCGUCUGCACCGCCAUCCAACAACGACAAUCCUGCUGCCUCACCUACUCCUCAAGAGGACGAGUAGAUGCUCUAUGUCUUCAAACCUUUUUGGUCAUUACUGACAAAAGGGGGAGAAGCAUAUGAGUUGAUAGUCUUCAAGCGGGUUCAUAAGGGCGGUUGCUUUAUAUUUUUGCCUAGUGCUUACAACUCUUGCCAUUGAUACACUUCGUUCUUUGAGUUGUAACACUUAAACUUGAUGGUCGUCUGCUACUUAUUUGCGUUUCCACGUGCGAUGAUAACUUCCGCACUUAGAUCAUUUUGCAGACGUCCAUUUUUCAUUAUGCAUGUCAUUCUCUUAGCUAUAUCAUUUCGUGCAUGAUGAAUUAUAUUCAUAAGUUGAAGAGGAUCUCCACAAGUACAACCUUCCAUGUGCAUUUGCAUUCCAAAAGCAAAUUAUUUAUAUGCACAUCUUCAGGGGGAGCCCUUGCCACUUAUGAAGACAAUACGCUAUCCUUUACAAUUUCACAUACUUCUUUCCCGUUGAAAACUUCAACCGGUUUGUCAUCAAUCACCAAAAGGGGGGAGAUUGUAAGUGCAUCUAGUGCCACCCCUAGUUGGUUUUGGAGUAUUAACGACAAAGUUGGUUGAGGGACUAAUGCGUUUCUGAGUAUUGCAGGAUAACGCAGGUAGUGUCCCUCAUUGAUUCGGUUUACCUACCGGAGAUGACCCCUAAAAAUGUAUGAAGACAUUGAAGACAAUGGUGGUGUGUGAAGAUGUUCACAUUGAAGACUAUGACAUGAGAAGACAUUGAGUGAAGACUAUGGAGCGCGAAGACUGAGUUGUUUCGUUGUUUCUUUUUCUUCCGUGUUGAGUCAUAGGAACCACCGUACUGUUAAGUGGGGUCCAGGUGAACUAAGUCAGAGUGACUGAAGUGAUGCUCAACCCAAAUCCUAUGUCUUCGAGCGAAGACAAUGAGAGCAAAUCUUAUCCAGAGCUGGAUGAGUCAGCUUUGCUUGUAGCCCAAGUAAAGUUGACGUGUGUGUUUGAAAUCUGACCGUUGGAACACGUGUCAGUUCCUUAGUGACCCAGGGUCAUUUCGGACAUAUCAGGUCGGGUUGCCUUGUGGCUAUAAAUAGCCCACCCCCUACACCAUAAAUUGGUGGCUGCUCAGAGUUAGUUUACGGCUUUUGUUGUUUUGAGAGCAACCCACCUCGAAGCCUUUGAGAGAGAAAUCCUUGCAAGGACAAAGCCCAAACACCCAGAGCCAAAGAGUGUUAGGCAUCACUGAAGUCUUUCUGUCUGUGUGACCUGAAGACUUAUUACACUUGAGGACUGUGUAUCCUCCAGCCGGUUAGGCGUCGCGUUCUGAGCAUCCAAGGGUCAUUGUGGAUUUCCGGUGAACGAAGUCUGUGAAGGUUCGGAAGUCUACCUUGAAGACUUACCAGAGUGAUUGGGCGAGGACUGUGUGUCCUUAGCUCAAGGGGAAUAAGGUGAAGACGCGGUCUUCUGAGUUGAAUCUCAACCUCCCUAACCAGACGUAUAGUUGUCACAGCAACUGGAACUAGUCCAACAAAUCUUGUGUCUUCAACAAGUGACUGGUUCUAUCCCUUCCCUCCUUUACUUUGAGUUUGUCUUCGUGAAGUCAAUGCUUAUCUGUCUUAUCUAUUUGACUUCAUUGCUUGACUACUAUUGUUGAUUGGCUUCAUACCAUCUUCCAUCCUGAUCCUUACUACCUAGCUGCUAUUAGUCUUUGUACGUUAACACUAUUGCAUACUUGACUAUGGCUUGCUUGUUGUAGUUUAUCUUCCGCUGCAUAUCAAUUAGGUCAUUUCUAUUGUCUGUCUUCGAAACUUCCACGUUUUGAAGACUUUGCUAAAAAUCGCCUAUUCACCCCCCCUCUAGUCGAUAACUAGCACUUGUAGUAUGCUUUGUCGUCCUUCUAGGAGUACCAUGAAUGUCACAUGGUUGAUCGAGUGUGUGGCUCGGGCCGGAUAGGCUUGAGCUGUUCUUUGCCCGCUGACCGGACUGGGAGUUGCUGGACUUGGCACCAGCUUCCCUGACUUGACGUUUAUGACCAUUGCGCCGAGGCUUGAGGAUGUCUCGUCGUGUAUCCUUUGUAUUGUCUUGGACCGUAGUGAUGUGUUGAUGUCAGGGUAUGUGCCUUUGGUUCUCCUGCUUAGGUUGAGGUAGCCAGUUGUGUCGUGUGUGCCCCUUGUCGGGGCGGUCGGGUCCGUAUUUUUUGGUGGCCAGGACCUUGGUCCAUCUGUCCACGAGCAAAUCUUGGUCAGCUUUAAGCUGCUGUUGCUUCCUUUGCAGGCUCCUUGCCGUGGCCAUGAGCCAUCGCUUGAAGUGAACUUGUUCCACUGGAUCUUCAGGCACGUCGAAUUCGUCGUUGCCGAGGCUUACCUCGUCCUCGGAGGGGGUGUAUAGUUGUCCCUCUCCAAGUAUCCCACCGUGGCCAGUCCGGCCUGCUUAAAGGCAGGUUGUUUAGGGUUGUACUCCUCUUCGGCACCAUCCGGAUUGUUUUCGUCUCCUGGGCCGGUAUUGCUGUGGCGGGGCUUGGAGUGGCACCGACGACACCCAUGCUUUGCUUUUCUCCCUGAGGGAUUAUCCUCCGUUGCCUCAUCACCAUCAGUUUCCUUCGAAGUGUCCACCAUAUAUAUAUCAAAGGAAGAGGUGGUUGUCCACCGCCCAGUGAGCGGUGGUUCAUGUUCUUCUCCUGCAUCUUCGUCCAUACCGUCGAUGUCUUCGGAGUCGAAGUCAAGCACGUCGGUUAAAUCAUCGACCGUGGCAAUGAAGUGGGUGGUGGGUGGGCAACGAAUUCCUUCGUCACCUGCUUCCCACUCGAGCCGGACAUAGUUCGGCCAAGAACCUCCUGGCAAAGAGAGAGACUUUAAUGAGUUCAACAUGUCGCCAAAGGGCGAGUGCUGGAAGAUAUCCGCAGCGGAAAACUCCAUUACCGGAGCCCAACCAGGGUCGGCGGGCUCAGGAGCGCGCGGACUGGAACCUACAACCGGAUACGAAUCCGGGGGUCCGGAGUCACAGGCUUCCUCAAAAGUGAGGCCUGUGUUCGGCUCCACCGCCGAUGAGUAUACGGCCUGCGGGGCGGGGUCCAUCCCUCCAUCCUUAGGCAAUGCAGCCUGCUCCGGAUUUAGGUCCGGGGCUACUUCAGGGGUGAUAUCAUGAGCAUUGUCCGACAGCAGGUCUAAGCUGUGAUCGUCGUGACUGUCCGGUGCUCCUAGCAUAGGCCCGAAUCCGUCGAAGAUCAAGUCUCCGCAAAUGUCCGCCGUGUAGUUCAGGUUUCCAAACCUGAUCUGGUGGCCAGGAGCGUAGCUGUCGAUCUGCUCCAUAUGGCCAAGCGAAUUAGCCCGCAGUGUGAAGCCGCCGAACACGAAGAUCUGCCCGGGGAGAAAAGUUUCACCCUGGACCGUGUCGUUGACGAUGAUUGAAGGAGCCAUCGAGCCUUGCAGGGACGACACAGAGGAACUCUCAAUGAAAGCACCAAUGUCGGUGUCAAAACCGGCGGAUCUCGGGUAGGGGGUCCCGAUCUGUGCGUCUUAGGCUGAUGGUAACAGGAAGCAAGGGACACAAUGUUUACCCAGGUUCGGGCCCUCUCGAUGGAGGUAAAACCCUACUUCCUGCUUGAUUAAUAUUGACGAUAUGAGUAGUACGAGAGUAGAUCUACCACGAGAUCGUAGAGGCUAAACCCUAGGAGCUAGCCUAUGAUGAUUAUGAUUGUAAUUGUGAUCGGCCUUCUAAGGACCAACCUCUCCGGUUUAUAUAGACACUGGAGAAGGCUAGGGUUUACAUGGAGUUGGUUAUAAGGAAGGAAAUACAAUAUCCGAAUCGCCAAGCUUGUCUUCCACGCAAAGGAAAGUCCCAUCCGGACACGGGACAGAGUCUUGAGUCUUGUAUCUUCACGCUUCAAUAGUCCGGACGAAGUAUAUAGCCCGGCUGUCCGGAUACCCCCUAAUCCAGGACUCCCUCACAAAGCAAUCCUGGUUUGACAAAGUACUUUGCUGCUGCUGGUUUCAGUUCCCUCACUGGAUUUGCAGGCUCACGACCAUCCUCUAACACCCCGUCAGUGCUACUGAUUUGAAGGAGCUCCGUGAGCGUGUACUUCUCGUGGUAUACAAUUUCGUUCCUCCCUUUAUUGCAGUCAUUUUGGUUAGUAAACUUGUAUGGACGAAAAAUAAUUGUGCCAGGAAGUUCAUAUCUUCAAACUAGAUAGCUACGAAAAACUAACCACGACCAGUUUGAAAAAGAACCACCCUCACCCUGGCCACCCUCGCGCCACUGCGGCGCCUAGGCCGUUCACUGCUGGCACCACAGUCCAUUCAACAAUGCAAUGGUGAGGUCUGUACUUUCCCCUUCCUCUUUUUAUGUAGCCUCCGAGUCGAAGUUCACCUCCAUGUGUUGCUCCACUCGUAGCUCCCAGCCUACCCUCGAGCAAGUUCGUACCGUGCACGAGAUUAGUUCAACCUGUGUACUUGGUAUGUUUGUGGGAAUGUCUGAGCAAAAAGAGAAACCAUAUAUUUUCUACAACAGUUCGACUCUGCAUCCCAUGAGUUCUUGAUUUUCUUUUGUGCAACAGUUCAACCUCGACGCUUGUGGCAGUCCCACAAGGACGAGUGUGGUCUAUGAUCAAAUUAGGUCAGACCCGCCUCUUCCAUCAGUGCAUCUCCCCCCUUCCUUCUCUCUCGUCCAUAACCUCGGCCGCCGGCCACCCCGGUACUGCAGGAUGAUGUGAAACAAUCAGUUUAAUUUCACAUUGACUAACUCGUCACACACUUAGGUCAAUUUUUGAUUUAGUAUAAUUCAAUACGAAAUCUAGUUUCACUUCAAAGACCGCUACUAUUUGUUUCCUAACGCCACAAGGUGGUGAACUUGUUUAGUGAGUUUCCUGAUGCAUGUUCUGCAAGCUGUCGGUGUAGAUUGGAGAAGGAGAAACAUCCAAAGUGCGAGUUCUGUGACGUCAUCAUUCGCCCAAGGUAUCUCAAUAAUUCUUAGUUUUAGUUUUGUGUUCAGGGGAUUUCUGGAUUGUUGGCGCAAGUGAUGCGUUCUGUUUUUGGCUGUUCAGUCGACGUACGAGAGCAAAAUAAGCACUGUCUAUGUAGAAGUGCUGUUUGAAACCCAUUUUUAACUAUGAAAUCCGUAAUGAUUAAGAUUUUUGCAUGUUAUUUAAUUGGGUGAACCAUUGGAUCCCAAACAACUCCAAAAAUGCAAUGAGGCCCUAAGUGUAAUAGUACUGGGAUGGGGAGAUCUUCCUGGGAAGCCUCCAUGUUUGGUCAGGUUUGGUUGCCUUAAAAACAUGCCUUCAAAAAUGCUUUUCUGAACAGAUUAUCAUGUAUAUCUUGCCUAUGUAGCUCGUAAAAAUGCACUAUGUACAAAAGAAAAAUACACUAGGCCUACCAGUUCACUAUGUAUGUUAUUACCAAUUCAUAAAUAAGCACAUAUGAAAGUUCGAUGAGUGUUAUUGAAAUAGUUUGGUUCAUUGGUUUUAUGUUAUAUGACAAACCACUAUGAUUUUUGAAUCAGUUCGACAAAAAAUUGUACAACAACUCAGACUCUGAGAGCUAUUUAAGUUUGAAUAUUUUUAAGAAUGAUACAUAUAUGUUGUACUCUCUGUCUAUACAGUGCAUUUUGCAGUUCUGUGCUAAAAGAUGGAUUUAUCUAUUUUGCACCAUCUUCACCAAGUCGAGCAUGCAGCAGCCAGGGGAUAC